rnacentral:lncRNA from 1 species
UUGUAAGACAUAAUCUGCUGCCCCCUUUCUCUCUUCUUUCUGUCCAGGACAGAGACAUGGUAGUGGAUCAGAUCAUCUCAUGGCUGGUCAAGUCUCUAGCCCUGUAGAGUAUAAGGCAAUAGGCCAUACUUGUACUAGUAGAAGUACACCAGCAGUAUGGCUGGUACUAGAGUAGUUGUUGGCUGAUUUCAGCCUUGUACCCUAGGUGUAUGUAGUUGGUAGAGCUGUACCUUAGAAGGUACAUGUAAUGGUGUAUAUAAACCAGUCCAAUGCAAUGGAACCUGUAGUAAGUUCAAUUGCCACUCAUUCAGUUCCAGUUUCAGUUCAAGUCUGAAACUGUGUGUGUGCUGUGUGUGUGCUGUGAGAGCUCAGGGCUCUUCUUCUACCUUGGAGCAGGGGAGAGGGAGAGGGGAGGAGAGCAGGUGCUGCUCACCUCGGUGCAGGGUUGCUGUGCCAACAAUUGGUAUCGGAGCCGUACAAGCCGUAGCUAGGUCCCCUGACCAGCAAUGGCGGAGAGUGCGGGCCGGAAUGGUGGCGGGGAAGGUGGUGAGCGACAGCUCCAACCGGCGCCACAAGUUGAGGUGCGCGUGGUGAAGGAGUUCGGUGGCAGUGGCUCCUGGCCCAUGCUCACCCGCACCAACUACGGUGAGUGGGCGACGCAGAUGAAGUGGAAGCUUCGCGCGCGCAAGUGGUGGCGGGCGAUUGAGGAGGAUGACCGCACCGAGGACGCCCAGGUGGGAGUCAUGGAGGCGCUCAUGGCCUCAACGCCGGCGGAGUACCAUGAGGCGCUGGGCGCGAAGGACACUGCGAAGCAGGCGUGGGAGAUGCUGGAGUCCCUGCGCAUUGGCUCGGAUCGAGCCAAGAGGGCGAGGAUUCAGCAGCUGCGCAGGGAGUUGAACGACAUCAAGUUCAAGCCCGGGGAAUCGGUGGAGGAUUUCACCCUUCGCCUCCAGUCCUUGGCCACGCAACUGGCCACCUACGGCAAGAAGGUGGACGACGAGGACCUCGUCACCAAGCUGCUGUGCACCGUGCCGGCAAGAUACUCGCAGCUCGCCAUGUCCAUCGAGACCAUGCUGGACAUCUCCACGCUGUCUCUGGAGGACGUGGCCGGGCGGCUGCGGGUAGCAGAGAGCCGCACCACGCCGGCGCCGGAGAAGGAGAAGCCCAAGCUCCUGCUGACCGAGGAGGAGUGGUCAGCACGCAUGAAGGAGAAGAGGCAGUCCGGGGAAGGCUCCAGCCGUGGUGGCGGCGAUCGCGGCGGUGGCAAGCAGCAGAGCAAGGGGCCGGCAGACAAGAAGAAGGGGAAGAAGAAGUUCACCGACCCGAAUGCCUACCGCAAGUGCGGCAAGGUUGGGCACUGGGCGCGGGAGUGCCCGGAGCGCAAGGAGAAGAAGGAUGAGGCGCACCUAGCUCAGGACGACAGCGACGGCGAUCACGCACUCCUGAUGGGGGUGUACUGCGCGGAGCAGAGCGGCAGAGAAGAAGUGUUGGAGGCGGAGCAGAGUCCUGCGCCACUGGCUAUCCAUCGCUUUGAUGAGCCGCGAGCGCAGGUCCAUCUUGGAGUCGCCGGAGAUGAGUCCGAGCAGAGGUGGUACCUGGAUUCCGGCGCGAGCAAUCACAUGACAGGCUGCCGCGCCGCCUUCUCUGAGCUGGACGAGAAGCAUGCCGGGAGCGUCCGGUUCGGGGACGGCUCUCGGGUGGAGAUUCGCGGACGAGGGACGGUGCUGUUCAGGUGCAAGAACGGGGAACACCGAGCGCUCUCGGAGGUCUACUACAUCCCCGAACUCCGGUCGAGCAUCAUCAGCUUGGGACAGCUGGACGAGCACGGCGCGGAGGUGCUCAUCCGCGGCGGCGUGCUCCGGAUCAGGGACCAGGACGGUCGGCUCCUGGCAAAGGUAAAGCGAUCACGCAACCGACUUUACCUCCUUGAUUUGAAGAUCGAGCAACCAGUGUGCCUAGCAGCAGCAUGCACGGAGAAGCCAUGGUUAUGGCAUGGCCGGUUCGGCCAUCUCAACUUCGAUGCGCUGGGCCGGCUCGGGAAGAUGGUGGACGGCCUACCAGAGAUUAGGCACGCAGGCGAGCUCUGCGACAGCUGCCUGGCAGGGAAGCAGAGGCGGCUGCCGUUCCCCAAGGCAGCCAAGCGUCGCGCAGAGGAGCUGCUCGAGCUAGUCCAUGGGGACCUCUGCGGACCAAUCAAGCCGGCGACCCACGGCGGGCGGAGGUACUUCCUCCUGCUCGUAGACGAUUGCAGCCGCUACAUGUGGCUGCAGCUUCUAACGAGCAAGGCCGAGGCAGCGGACUCCAUCAGGCGCUUUAAGGCGCGGGUGGAGGUGGAGUCCGGGAAGAAGCUGAAGGUGCUGAGGACAGACCGCGGCGGCGAGUUCACGGCGAUAGAGUUCGCCGCCUACUGCGCCGAGGAGGGGGUGGGGCGCCAUCUCACUGCGCCCUAUUCCCCUCAGCAGAACGGCGUGGUGGAACGCCGGAACCAGACCAUCGUUGGGAUGGCGCGAUCGAUGAUGAAGGCGAAGAAGAUGCCGGGAGCAUUCUGGGGCGAGGCAGUGAGCACGGCUGUCUUCAUCCUCAACCGGGCUCCCACCAAGGCGCUGAAAGGACAGACUCCGUUCGAGGCAUGGCAUGGGCGCAAGCCUAAUGUCUCGUUCAUGCGCACAUUCGGCUGCAUUGGCCAUGUGCGCACCACCAAGCCAGGGCUUCACAAGCUGGAAGAUAGGAGCACCAAGGCAGUGUUCCUUGGCUACGAGGAUGGGUCCAAGGCCUACAGGCUCUACGAUCCGGCUGGCGGGAAGGUGAUGGUGUCCCGAGAUGUCGUCUUCGAUGAAGCGGCUGCCUGGAGGUGGGAGGAGGAGGAGACCGUUUUGGGGGAAGCUUCAGAAGGCGGUGGCAUCAACGACUCCUUCGACGUCGAACACCUGGUGAUUCAGGGCCAUGGCGCAGCGGCUGAGCAGUCACCAGAGCCUGCAGCCGGGAGAGGUGUCGAGUCACCUGUUGCAGCAGAGGAGCCACCCAGUCCAGGCAGGACUGGGCACCUGGAUACGCCCGGGCCGGCCUGGGAAGAGUUCCCUGGCUCACCCGAGCAGCGGACACCAGCUGCGGCCACCGUGGAGUACGCCUCGCCACCCUCCAACGUCUCAGACUUCGUGGAUGCUUUCCAUGAAGGGGAGGAGGUGCGGUUCCGGCGGGUGGACAACGUGGUCGGGGAGGCAGCCGUGCCAGGACUGGCCGAUCGGCUGCUCGACGACGGCGCCCACACUUUGCUCUUGAUGAGCGCAGAGGAGCCGGGCACGUUUGCAGCUGCGGAGCGCGAUGGAGCAUGGCGGCGUGCGAUGCUCGAGGAGAUGAAGUCCAUUGAGGACAACCGCACCUGGGAGCUUGUCGAUCCACCGGCGGGAUGCCGACCGAUCGGGCUCAAAUGGGUGUACAAGGUCAAGCGCGACGAGCGGGGCGCCAUCGUGAAGCACAAGGCACGGCUCGUCGCCCGCGGAUUCGUGCAGCGGGAAGGAGUUGACUUCGAGGAGGUCUUCGCACCAGUAGCGCGCAUGGAGUCGGUGCGACUCCUGCUUGCGCUCGCGGCAGCCAAGGACUGGCAGGUCCACCACCUCGACGUCAAGUCUGCCUUCCUCAAUGGCGACUUGGCAGAGGUGGUCUUCGUCAAGCAACCGCCAGGAUUCGUGCAGGCGGGGCAGGAGCAGAAAGUGCUGCGGCUUCGGAAGGCGUUGUAUGGGCUGCGUCAAGCUCCACGCGCCUGGAAUGCCAAGCUCGACGCCACCAUGACGGAGCUUGGAUUCACACGAUGCGCCAGCGAGCAUGCUCUGUACACCCGACGACGGGGGAAGGAGCACCUCAUCGUCGGGGUGUACGUCGAUGAUUUGAUCAUCACCGGCGCGCGGGCAAGCGACAUCGCUCGGUUCAAGGAGGAGAUGGCCAGCCAGUUCAAGAUGAGUGAUCUCGGAUCGCUGUCUUACUACCUCGGGAUUGAGGUGAGGCAGGGGGCGGACUCCAUCAAGCUUGGUCAGCGGGCGUACGCGCUCAAGCUACUGGAAAGGGCUGGCAUGGUAGGCUGCAAGCCAGUGGCUACACCGAUGGAGGAGCGCGUGAAGCUCUCCAAACAGAGCACGGCGGAGAAGGUGGAUGCCACCUUGUACCGGAGCACCGUCGGUGGUUUGAGGUGGCUCACGCAUACCCGGCCGGACAUUGCGUUCGCCGUCGGCUAUGUGAGUCACUCUGGGCAUAAAACCCGCUACCCAUUACCCGAACCCGAAAAACCCACACCCGAACCCGAAAAACCCGAACCCGCAAUACCCGAUUCCAGUUCGGGCAGUGAAUCUCAAAACCCGCAAUUUUUGUGGGUAAUUCGGGUUUAGGGUUCCGGUACCCGAAAACCCGAACCCGCAUAUCAUAUGAACAUCAGAACAUGUGUUUCACUCUGCUGCAGCGCUGCUGUUAUUUAUCUUGUUUUCUUUGCCACCAAGUGUCGUUUGCACUUGGCCAUUUUAUAAUUCUAUAUAGUUAUGUAUUUAUAAUUCUAUGCCAAAUUAUAUGAUGUUUAAGGGGUUGCUUACAUUCUACAGAGUUCGGGUAGAAUGGGAUUACCCGAACCCGAACCCGAAAUUGCGGGUACCCGCGGCUGCGGGUAAUGGGUUUUUGGGACUGAGUUCGGGUUCCAGUUUAUAUUACCCGAACUUUUCAAAACCUGAAUUACCCGACCCGAUCGGAUCGGGUAACCCGAACGCCCAGAGUGAUAUGUGAGUCGCUUCAUGGAGGAUCCGCGGGAAGAUCACUGGGCGGCAGUGAAGCGCUUGCUGCGUUACGUCCAGGGGUCAGCGGAGAUGGGGCUCAUCUUCCCCAAGCACGGCGGGCUUCGGCUGUCUGUCUUCAGCGAGGCACCACCCAGGACAGGGGAAGCAGAGCUGGUGGCUUACAGUGAUGUGGACAUGGCCGGGGACGUGGAUGGACGGAGGAGCACCUCUGGAGUGCUUGUGUUCCUCGGGACUGCGCCGGUUGCCUGGCAGUCACUGAAGCAGAAAAUGGUGGCUCUGUCCACUUGUGAAGCGGAGUAUGUCGCGGCAGCGACGGCAGCAUGCCAGGUGGUGUGGCUCCGGCGGUUGCUGAGUGAGCUCACAGGAAGUAAAGCUCAGGCACCGGCACUGAAGAUGGACAACCAGCCGGCCAUAGCAUUGGCAAAGAACCCAGUUCUCCACGACCGAAGCAAACACAUUGAUGUGAAGUUUCACUUUCUUCGUGAUUGCGUCGAUGGAGGGCAGCUGGUCAUCGAGUUCGUCGAAACUGGUCGACAACUCGCUGACAUCCUCACCAAGUCACUCGGGAAGCUUCGGUUUCAGGAACUGAGGAAGAUGAUUGGCAUGGUGGAAGUCAAAUGAGGGCAGCAAAGAUUAGGGGAAGAUUGUAAGACAUAAUCUGCUGCCCCCUUUCUCUCUUCUUUCUGUCCAGGACAGAGACAUGGUAGUGGAUCAGAUCAUCUCAUGGCUGGUCAAGUCUCUAGCCCUGUAGAGUAUAAGGCAAUAGGCCAUACUUGUACUAGUAGAAGUACACCAGCAGUAUGGCUGGUACUAGAGUAGUUGUUGGCUGAUUUCAGCCUUGUACCCUAGGUGUAUGUAGUUGGUAGAGCUGUACCUUAGAAGGUACAUGUAAUGGUGUAUAUAAACCAGUCCAAUGCAAUGGAACCUGUAGUAAGUUCAAUUGCCACUCAUUCAGUUCCAGUUUCAGUUCAAGUCUGAAAC